UUUAUGCCAUAGAUUGUUUAUUUUUUUCUUCAAAAAUGAUUUGGCAUCUAGUUGAGAGCUCAACCAUGUAAUAUUGACCAACUGGGUAUGCCUUUAUUAGUCUAGAUUCAUCAGGUUUUAUUGUCAAAACAAGUUACAGGAAAUGUUAGUGGUUCUCCUUACGUGACACUAUCUAUUCUUUGACAGUAUACAAAAAUGGAAUGAGCUGGUGCCAAUUAACUUCAUCAAAUUCUUGUGCAAUCAAAGUUAUAAAUGCUGUACAAAACGCUGUCAUUGAUCUCACUAAGUUUGAGCUGGGGAGGCUUGUAUUUUCAAAAAUUUGAUGUCUCAAUGAAGUCGUGAUUUAUAUAAUGUCUUGUUAUUUUAAUGCUAUACAUUAGUAAACAUUCAUUAUUAUCUUUGUUCCACACGGCCAUGUGAUGUUUUUAUUAUUUUUGAUGUUGUCGGAAGAAUGAAAGGGAGAUGGGAAGUAGAGUAUAGUGCUCCAAUGAAGGAUUAGUUUUUGACCUGCAGCUUUUACCGAGUUCUACAGAACUAAUGAACCAUUUAGUGAGCUACCACCCAUUGAUAAAACUGAAUAGCUUCUAAUGCUACAACAAGAGGACGUUAUGAAGUUACUUCCCAAACCAUUGACUGCAUCGGUGGUGGCUGGUCAUAUGGCAAAAA